rnacentral:misc_RNA from 1 species
GAUGAAGAACGUAGUGAAAUGCGAUAAGUAAUGUGAAUUGCAGAAUUCAGUGAAUCAUCGAAUCUUUGAACGCACAUUGCGCCCGCCAGUAUUCUGGCGGGCAUGCCUGUUCGAGUGUCAUUUCAACCAUCAAGCCCCCGGCUUGUGUUGGGGACCUGCGGCUGCCGCAGGCCCUGAAAAGCAGUGGCGGGCUCGCUGUCACACCGAGCGUAGUAGCAUACAUCUCGCUCUGGGCGUGCUGCGGGUUCCGGCCGUUAAACCACCUUCAUAACCCAAGGUUGACCUCGGAUCAGGUAGGAAGACCCGCUGAACUUAAGCAUAUCAAUAAGCGGAGGA